CGGAUGUAGUUUAGUGGCAAAACCUUAGCUUCCCAAGCUAAAGUUGUGGGUUCGAUUCCCAUCAUCCG
rnacentral:tRNA from 1 species